rnacentral:rRNA from 1 species
GACGAACGCUGGCGGCGUGCUUAACACAUGCAAGUCGAACGGAAAGGCCCUGCUUUUGUGGGGUUCUCGAGUGGCGAACGGGUGAGUAACACGUGAGUAACCUGCCCUUGACUUUGGGAUAACUUCUGGAAACUGGGGCUCAUACCGGAUAGGAGCUCCUGCUGCAUGGUGGGGGUUGGAAAGUUUCGGCGGUUUGGGAUGGACUCGCGGCUUACCAGCUUGUUGGUCGGGUAGUGGCGUACCAAGGCUUUGACGGGUAGGCGGCCUGGGAGCGUGACCGGCCACAUUGGGACUGAGGUACGGCCCAGACGCGAAUGUGAGGCAGCAGGGGGGAACAUUGCACAAUGGGCGGAAGUCUGAUGCAGCGACGUCGCGUGCGGGAUGACGGCCUUCGGGUUGUAAACCGCUGUCGCCUGUGACGAGGCGUGAGUGACGGUAAUGGGUAAAGAAGCACCGGCUAACUACGUG